rnacentral:misc_RNA from 1 species
GAUGAAGAACGCAGCGAAAUGCGAUAAGUAGUGUGAAUUGCAGAAUUCAGUGAAUCAUCGAAUCUUUGAACGCACAUUGCGCUUCCUGGUAUUCCGGGGAGCAUGCCCGUUUCAGAAUCAUUAAAAAUCUCACAAAGCUAGGUGCUUUCGGGCAUUUGGUGAAUGUGGAUUUGGAUUUUGCGUUAGCAAUCAUCUUAAAAUGAUUGUAUGUGCACCAAAUGAUGUUUUGGUUGUUAUAAGUGCAACAGAUUUAUCUAUUACGCUUUUGGCAAUUGAAUUCAUUGUUGGGAGCGCGUACUCAAACCAUUACACAGCGGACGCAUCGGAUGAGGCGACCGCUGAUAACUUGGUCUGAAAUCGGGCAAGAAAACCCGCUGAACUUAAGCAUAUCAAUAAGCGGAGGA